UACGGAGGAUGCGAGCGUUAUCCGGAUUUAUUGGGUUUAAAGGGUGCGUAGGCGGACUGUCAAGUCAGCGGUAAAAUACGGGGGCUCAACCUCCGCCCGCCGUUGAAACUGACGGUCUUGAGUGGGCGAGAAGUAUGCGGAAUGCGUGGUGUAGCGGUGAAAUGCAUAGAUAUCACGCAGAACUCCGAUUGCGAAGGCAGCAUGCCGGCUCCACACUGACGCUGAGGCACGAAAGCGUGGGUAUCGAACAGG
rnacentral:rRNA from 1 species